rnacentral:rRNA from 1 species
CCUACGGGUGGCUGCAGUGAGGAAUAUUGGUCAAUGGCCGAGAGUCUGAACCAGCCAAGUAGCGUGAAGGAUGACUGCCCUAUGGGUUGUAAACUUCUUUUAUAUGGGAAUAAAACGUUGCACGUGUGGGACUUUGUAUGUACCAUAUGAAUAAGGAUCGGCUAACUCCGUGCCAGCAGCCGCGGUAAUACGGAGGAUCCGAGCGUUAUCCAGAUUUAUUGGGUUUAAAGGGAGCGUAGGCGGAUUGUUAAGUCAGUUGUGAAAGUUUGCGGCUCAACCGUAAAAUUGCAGUUGAAACUGGCAGUCUUGAGUACAGUAGAGGUGGGCGGAAUUCGUGGGGUAGCGGUGAAAUGCUUAGAUAUCACGAAGAACUCCGAUUGCGAAGGCAGUUCACUGGACUGCAAAUGACACUGAGGCUCGAAAGUGGGGGUAUCAAACAGGAUUAGAUACCCGAGUAGUC